rnacentral:rRNA from 1 species
UACGGGGGGAGCAAGCGUUGUUCGGAUUUACUGGGCGUAAAGGCGCGUAGGCGGCGUGACAAGUCACUUGUGAAAUCUCCGGGCUUAACUCGGAACGGUCAAGUGAUACUGUCGGACUAGAGUACAGAAGGGGCAACUGGAAUUCUCGGUGUGAGCGGUGAAAUGCGCAGAUAUCAGGAGGAACACCGGUGGCGAAGGCGGAUCUCUGGGCCAUUACUGACGCUGAGGAGCGAAAGCGUGGGGAGCGAACAGG